CAACUUGCUGCUUUGCUGACAAGUGGCGGACGGGUCAGUAAUGUCUGGGAAACUGCCUGAUGGAGGGGGAUAACUACUGCAAACGGUGGCUAAUACCGCAUAACGUCCCAAGACCAAAGAGGGGGACCUUCGGGCCUCUUGCCCUCAGAUGUGCCCAGAUGGGAUUAGCUUGUUGGUGAGGUAACGGCUCACCAAGGCGACGAUCCCUAGCUGGUCUGAGAGGAUGACCAGCCACCCUGGAACUGAGACACGGUCCAGACUCCUACGGGAGGCAGCAGUGGGGAAUAUUGCACAAUGGGCGCAAGCCUGAUGCAGCCAUGCCGCGUGUAUGAAGAAGGCCUUCGGGUUGUAAAGUACUUUC
rnacentral:rRNA from 1 species